GACGAACGCUGGCGGCGUGCCUAAUACAUGCAAGUCGAACGCACAGUUUAUACCGUAGCUUGCUACACCAUAAACUGUGAGUUGCGAACGGGUGAGUAACGCGUAGGUAACCUGCUUGGUAGCGGGGGAUAACUAUUGGAAACGAUAGCUAAUACCGCAUAAUAUUGAUUAUUGCAUGAUAAUUGAUUGAAAGAUGCUAUUGCAUCACUACCAGAUGGACCUGCGUUGUAUUAGCUAGUAGGUGAGGUAACGGCUCACCUAGGCGACGAUACAUAGCCGACCUGAGAGGGUGAUCGGCCACACUGGGACUGAGACACGGCCCAGACUCCUACGGGAGGCAGCAGUAGGGAAUCUUCGGCAAUGGACGAAAGUCUGACCGAGCAACGCCGCGGGAGUGAAGAAGGUUUUCGGAUCGUAAAGCUCUGUUGUAAGAGAAGAACGGGUGUGAGAGUGGAAAGUUCACACUGUGACGGUAUCUUACCAGAAAGGGACGGCUAACUACGUG
rnacentral:rRNA from 1 species